ACGCUCGACACCUACGGGGGCAGCAGUGGGGAAUAUUGGGCAAUGGAGGAAACUCUGACCCAGCAACGCCGCGUGAAUGAUGAAGGUCUUUGGAUUGUAAAGUUCUUUUCUAAGGGACGAAGAAAGUGACGGUACCUUAGGAAUAAGCCUCGGCUAACUACGUGCCAGCAGCCGCGGUAAUCUGAGCGGGCUGGCAAGGC
rnacentral:rRNA from 1 species